rnacentral:rRNA from 1 species
UACGAAGGGGGCUAGCAUUGUUCGGAAUUACUGGGCGCAAAGCGCACGUAGGCGGACAUUUAAGUCAGGGGUGAAAUCCCAGAGCUCAACUCUGGAACUGCCUUUGAUACUGGGUGUCUUGAGUAUGGAAGAGGUGAGUGGAAUUCCGAGUGUAGAGGUGAAAUUCGUAGAUAUUCGGAAGAACACCAGUGGCGAAGGCGGCUCACUGGUCCGGUACUGACGCUGAGGUGCGAAAGCGUGGGGAGCAAACAGG